UGCUUUAGACGUUAUUAAUUUGGUAAAAAAGCAAAAAGAAAUGAAUUGUUUCCACACAUUCACUACCCAAUAUGUAUAGAAAUAAAUAAGUCAUUGUGGUCGAUACGAAGCGCUAUAAGAAAGAGUCCACAGGCUUCUGAAGAUCACAGAGGAUCAGACUGUGAAAGAUUCUUCAUCGUUCAGGUUACAGUUCAUCAUCUAAGAUGCUCCGCAACAUCUUUCUUGUCACCUUGCUCAUAUGCUCAGCCUGUGCAGAUGACAUGAGCUCCACUGAAGAUGAUCUUGUCAAGAGUGAUCCUGAGUUGCCGAAAAUAAAUGGGGACUUAACUUGCUACCUGUGUAAAAAAGUAGUGUCAUACGUGAAAAGCAAAAUCUCUUCUGAUACAACAGUGGAGAAAAUAAAGAAAAUUUUGCAUUCUGUCUGUGAUCACCUUCCCCUUUUUAAAGACAGCUGCAAAACCUUUGUCAGUAAAUAUGCAGACAAGAUUGCUGUCAUUAUUCAGAAAGCUGACCCAGAAACCGUCUGUAAGAAAAUUAGUGUCUGCUAAUAGGUCUGAACCAGCUCAUUGUUGCAUCUAAACAAACGCAUCGACAAUCUGUGAAUGAGGAGAAAUUACAAUGAAGCUUUGCAUGCAUUAAAAAGAAUAAUA